rnacentral:lncRNA from 1 species
GGACGCCCUGCUGCCCUCGGGACUGUCCCUCCAGCCCCCAGCUUUCCGUGGUUAUUGGGCCCCCUCUGCAGAGGGGCAGGGGAGCCCACCCUGGAUCCUGAGGCGCCGAGCUUGAGGGACCCCAGAGCUCCAGCCAGGCCGCUUUCUUUGCGGAUGGUGAAGCUGAGGUCCCGAGGAGGGCAGGGGCAGGUCCCGGGCGCUCCUCAGGCAAAGGGAGCCGAUUUAGGGGCUGGGGUCACAGGAGGCGCUUCUGCGACCUCUAGGGCCCUAGAGCCCGGGAGGAUGAGAGACUGGGGGCCUUUCGUCCACCCCUGGGGCUGGGCAGACGCUCAGCCUGUGCAACCCGAAGCUGCUUCUGCCCAGUCCCAGCCGCGGCCCCUUUAAGAGGGGGUGGUGCUUCAGCCUGGCGCCAGGGACGCUGCCAGCAUGCAGGCCCCGACGGAAGCCGAGACUGCGCUUCGUGCGAGGCCCGGGCAGCAUCGGCGGCGUGGUCAGAGCGAGUCUCGGAGAAGAUGUGGUGGCUUCCGUUUGUUGGUGGAGGAGGUGGCAGGCCUCGGCGGGUAACCCAGAGAACACAGCCGAAGUGGAAUGUGGGGACGUCUGCGACACCGGGGACAGAGCAACUGUGGAUGAAGAGGGCUACAUCUGGUUCCUGGGGAGGAGUCAUGACACUAUCAAUGCCUCUGGGUGGUGAAGGCAUUGAUUGUCCUGACCCCACAGUUUCUGUCCCAUGACAAGGACCAGCUGACUAAGGAGCUGCAGCAGCAUGUAAAGUCAGUGACAGCCCCAUACAUAUACCAAGACAUUCAGGGAGGAAAUUAUAUGAUAUGUGGGAUUUGCUAUAAAAUAACGAGAGGAAGAGGAGAAGCAUGCAGGAGUGUACAUGAAACAAGAUUGGCCACGAGAUGACAAAUAUCUGAAUCCGCUGAUGAGUAGGUGAAAGCUCACUACGCUAGCCUCUUGUUUAAAAUGCUCCAGAAUAGAAAGUGUGUCUGAAAAUCCACUUCAUGGGUUUGUAGCAAGCAUUGAAUAAGAUCAUGUAUACAGAGUGCUUUAUAACCAUGGCUUACAGGUAGUCAGUACACAUUGUUUUUAGUUUUGUAUACUCCCCGUCCAUUAAUCACAUCCAAAAAAGGUAUGUUAUUCACACUAAGAGCUCUGGCCCAUGGACCUUUGUCCACUUGGUGGUAAUUUAUUGAAAUUUGGGGUUUAGAAUGAGGAAAUGCCAGCCUUCAGAGCCCCAGGCUUACUAUGCAACAGCAAAGCCAACAGUCCCAAAUGCCUUCCUAGCACACCUAGUAAGUAGGAUCACUUUCCUCUCACCUUGUAGGCAUACUUGAGUUCAUUCACUCAUUCAUUCACUAUUUUUCAUUCAUUUCUUAUGUGCCAGGUAUUGGGUGUUAGGAAUCCAUAAUACAGUGAACCCAUAAUUGACUGCAAGCAUCACUUUCAAAGCAUCAUUUCAGGAUGAGAAUUUAAGUGCCAAGUGAAUUCAAGGAACAGUGCAAAGGAUCCAUGGCCUCAGUCACCAUGAAGACCCUCCCAAGAGCCAGCCCUACUGGGCACAUAUAAAUGAGUGGAGACCUGGAAUUCACCCUUACAAAGCCUAGAACCUGACAGAGCACACAAGACAAAAGCCCAAAUAACCAAGAACAGGGAGCAGAAUGUGAGAGGUGGGCCCCAAAGGAUUCAGCCACCAAGGUGGAGAAAGUAAUGUGUGCAGAGUGGGGAGUAGUCAGGUUUGGCUGAAGCAAGCAGGCAUUUGGGGAGAGGUGGAAACUGAGGCUGGAAUGGUCUCCUAGGGCCCUGUAUGGAGAAGGUCAGGUUCAGGCAUCUGAAUCCCAUUCAGUAGCAAGAGAGUCACUCCAUGGUGCCAAGCAAGGGCUAACAGGCUUAGGACAAGAUUCAGGAAGAGGCCUCUUGCAGCAAGUGGUCAAGCCCAGGGACCACUCAUGGAAGGCCUAUCCCCGCCUGGCACUGCACCUUCAAGUUCACAUCACAUGGCCAUGUGCACAUUCAUACACAACCAUGUGCAUGUUCACACACAGUCAUAUGCAUGUUCACACAACCAUGUGCAUGUUCACACACGACCAUGUGCAUGUUUACACGUGGCCACAUGCAUGCUAAUGCACAAUCAUAUGCAUGUUCACACAUCACCAUGUGCACAUUGAAACAUGACCAUAUGCAUUUUCACAUGCUCAGUGACUCACAGAUUCAUAAGACCUGAGACGGACGUGCAUUUUGGGAGAUCCAACUUUAGGAUAUGGGCUCACUGUCUCAGCACAUGCAGACCAGGCCUGAACUCUAUUCAAGAAAGCUGCCUGCCAGUUUAUAGCAGGGGUUAGCAAACCUUUUCCAUGAAGAGCCAGUUAGGAAAUGUUUGAGGCUUUGCAGAACAUGUGGUCUCUUGCAACUACUCAACUCACUAAAGCAACAAUGGACAACACAUCCGUGAAGAAGCAUGGCCGUGUUCUGGUAAAACAAAACUUGGCUGCAGUUUGCCCAUGCCCAGCCUAGAGUUUGUAGCCUCUUCCCAGAGAGAGGGAAUCUGACAGAUUCCCAAAUCUGUCAGAGACUAGGAAGUCUCCUUCAGAAGGACACCCCUCCAAGCCUGAGGAUCCAUCCACCCACAGGAGGCCUGGCACAACUCAUUCCCCACUCAGCUUGGUGCAAGCUAACCCUAUCAGGCCCUGCCACUGUUAUCCUUGCUGACCACCCCCAGUGUCCUCUCAAGUGGAGGCUGCCUGCUUCUCAUGUCCUCCGCCACAGGGUCAGGCACUGCACCCACCCCUUCCAGCCCCACAGGAGCCCCUCUCCCCAGCCCUGGCCUGCUGCCACCCGACCCCCUCACCAGGGAGCCCCUGCACAUCCAGUUGAGCCCAGAUGGCAUUCCUUUAGGAAACCUCCUCGACACUCCGAAGUCCAGAUCGCAGGCCCCACCUGGAAUGCUCUCCUUGCAGCCUGUUCGAAGACUCAUGAGACCGUGCUGCACACUGGACUUCAACCAUGAGCUUCACCGUCUGUCUCUUCCUUCACUACCUUCGCUCUGCACUAGGCCAUAAGCUCUGUAGGAGAAGGAACUCAUCACAGUGCCUGCCCCAGACAGGUUGUUCAUAAGCACGUAUUGAAAUAUAGAAUUCCCAGGCACCUCCAACAGAGAGACUGGACCUUGUGAGACCCAACAAGAAGCCAGUAUUUCAGAACUGAUGAAAAAUAGCAAGGAUCUAGAUUAGGGGGUAUAGUGGGAAUGAAAUGGGGGACUGGGUGAUGCCCCAUAUUUGUCAACGACUCAUAGUCUUUCUCCAGAGAUGUCUUCCUCCCCUGUGUUCUUUGUCUCAUCAGCUGCCACCAGCACUCACUCCAGCCACUAAAGCCAGAAAGUUGAAAGACCUCUGCCCUCAUCCGGCCCAGCCCCCAUCCAGCCAAAGACCUGUCAUUUCAACCUCACGCCCACCCCGCUUUCCACUCCCACUGCUCCUGCCUUAGUUCAGACCACCACCGUCGCUCUCCUACCCAGUUCAAGCCAAGCUGACCUGGCCAGUGGCCUUCAGGCCUUCCCUUCUCCAUCCUGCCAUGUCCAUCCUCCACAGGCAGAACAGGAAGCUGUCAUGUAAAAGUGCAGGUCUGCUUUGGUCCUUCUCCUAAACCCUUCAGUGGCUUCCCGGUUCCCUUUGGGUCCUGGUACAGAUUCCUUAGCAUGGCCAGGGAGGACAGCCCUCCAUGAUCCUCCCCUCCCUGAGAUGUUCCUCCUGCCCCAGCACCCUGUGUUUGAGCCCAAGCCCGCCCUGUGGUGUCACGGGAGGCCCAGCUCCUCUGCCUGGGGUGCCUUGCCUGGCCUAGGAACUGGGAAAACUUACCUGCUUCCAAGACUCAGCUCUAGCACCUCUUCCUGCUGGGUGUUUUCCGAUGCCCCCCCUCUCGCCACCUCAUGGGGACCCCACAGUCCCCUGAAGAGCCUUCUGCCCCAGUGCCUCACCCCACUCUUUAGACCUGUUUCUGUUUCCAUGGCUGCCUUGCCUUCUUAGACCACGGGCUCCUGCAGAGCGGGACCCCAUAUCUCAGUCGGCUUUGCAUUCCCAGUGCCUGGCCGAAACUGAGGCUGGAAUGGUCUCCUAUUCCAUAAGCUCUCAAUAACCCUUGAAAAAUGACUGGAAUCCUGGACAGCGCCAAGGCAGCAACUGGGAUGGGAGAGUGAUCUGCUGCCCUCUCCUGGCAAUGUGAGGAAUUGUCCUAAGCACAGACAACUCCCUCCCUGCCUUGCACAAGUGCAGGAUGGGGGAAACUGGAAAAGGAGCUGAUGGAGGAUUGGGGAGGUGGAUGCUGUCUAAGGAGACAAACUGAAUUGAGGGGUUGCUGGGACUCGGCCGGCUCACAUGCUAUUCCCAUGUCAUGGGCCCAGGGGCCAAGUCAGUGCUUCCAAAGGAGGGUGCAUCCUGAGAGAGGCUCUGGCUCCCCCAACAAAACCCUAAACUCUUGAAGGACAUCUUCCUUCUCAGUAUACCCUAUUGCUGUGUUGUUGUAACUAUCACUGUAACUUUUAUUCACUUCAGUGGGCGAUCACUGAGUUUUUCCUCCAUUGUUGUAAAACAUGUGUUUUGCUCUUGUGUGUAAAAUGACUGUGAAUUUAGCCACUGCCUUCUCCUGAUUUUAACUCAGCUUUCUACUGCUAGGAGGUUAUCUCUGUUCUGGGUUUCUCAGCUUUCUAUCAAAACCCAAAUACUGUCAUUCCUCGGUAUCCGUAGGGGAUUGGUUCCAGGAACCUCCCUUGAAGAUACCAACAUUGCAGGUGCCCAAGCCCCUGAUAGAGAACAGCGCAGCAUUUGCAGACAACCUAUGUACACACUGCAUGCACUUUCAAUCAGCUCUAGAUUACUUCUGAUACCUAAUUCAAUGUAAAUGCUGUGUCAGUAGUUGUCUAGGGAAUAAUGACAAGAAGAAAAUUUUGUACAUGUUCAGUACGUAGGAAAAAGAAAGAGAGAUCAGACUGUCACUGUGUCUAUGUAGAAAGGGAAGACAUAAGAGAUUCCAUUUUGAAAAAGACCUGUACUUUAAACAGUUGCUUUGCUGAGAUGUUGUUAAUUUGUAGCUUUGCCCCAGCCACUUUGCCUUAGCCACUUUGACCCAACCUGGAGCUCACAAAAAUAUGUGUUGUAUAAAAUCAAGGUUUAAGGGAUCUAGGGCUGUGCAGGAUAUGCCUUGUUAACAAAAUGUUUACAAGCAGUAUACUUGGUAAAGGUCAUCGCCAUUCUCUAGUCUCAAUAAAACAGGAGCACAGUGCACUGCGGAAAGCCGCAGGGACCUCUGCCCUUGAAAGUGGGGUAUUGUCCAAGGUUUCUCCCCAUGUGAUAGUCUGAAAUAUGGCCUCGUGGGAUGAGAAAGACCUGACUGUGCCCCAGCCCGACACCCAUAAAGGGUCUGUGCUGAGGUGGAUUAGUAAAAGAGGAAAGCCUCUUGCAGUUGAGAUAGAGGAAGGCCACUGUCUCCUGCCUGCCCCUGGGAACUGAAUGUCUCGGUAUAAAACCCGAUUGUACAUUUGUUCAAUUCUGAGAUAGGAGAAAAACCGCCCUAUGGUGGGAGGCGAGACAUGUUUGCAGCAAUGCUGCCUUGUUAUUCUUUACUCCGCUGAGAUGUUUGGGUGGAGAGAAACAUAAAUCUGGCCUACAUGCACAUCCGGGCAUAGUACCUUCCCUUGAACUUAAUCAUGACACAGAUUCUUUUGCUCACAUGUUUUUUGCUGACCUUCUCCUUAUUAUCACCCUGCUGUCCUACUACAUUCCUUUUUGCUGAAAUAAUGAAAAUAAUAGUCAAUAAAAACUGAGGGAACUCAAAGGCCGGUGCCAGUGCAGGUCCUUGGUGUGCUGAAUACUGGUCCCCUGGACCCACUGUUGUUUCUCUAUACUUUGUCCCUGUGUCUUAUUUCUUUUCUCAGUCCCUCAUCCCACCCGACUAGAAAUACCCACAGGUAUUUCUAGGGAGGGGCAGACCACCCCUUCACAGUAAAGCCACAAUAUUUUUCAAAUAUUUUUACCCCAGGUGGUUGAAUCCCCAGUUGAAUCCAGAACCCACAGAUGUGAAAUCCAUGGGUGAGGAGGGCCAGCUGUGCCUGUUAGCAUCCCCUGACCCCCACGGUGCCCACUGCUUCAAUGGGUCAGGUGAUGUCAUGCACCCCUCCUGGCAAAGAGAAGCAUUACCUCAGCUCCUCUUGGGGCUGCAGGUCUAACCGUCUGCAUCUUAACGUUUGCAAAGGUUGCCUAACCCCUAAUAUAGGAAAUAGAUUUGGGGAAGGAGCUUGAGUCUGUAGCUGGAGAUUUGUGAUUGAUGUUCACAGAGAUAGUUAAAGUCUUGGAGUGGCUAAGAUAGCCACCUGCAGAGAAAAAUCACCUGUCAUUCACCAUUGAAUCCUCCAUCUCUAUUGCACAGGGCAUUGUAUAAACAUCAGGUGUCUAUGGAACAAAUGCAAAGAGAGUACACAAAAGAAGCAAAAGGGACUGUCUUUGCACGAUGCAGAAAAUUAGACCUGCAUGGCACGUUUAGCCCUAAAUUUAGGAAUCUACCCCACUAGACAGGAAAUAUCUUUUCAAUUAACAAAUGGCCUCUCCACUCCUUCUUUCCUUGGAAAGUUUACUGAACAAUGAUUGGGCACCGUAAACUUUGUUUUCAUGUCAAACAGUACCUGCCCUCCAGUGGUUUAUCAUCUAUUUUGUGGGACAUGGCACAAAGGAAGAAAAACUGUUUGGUCCUCAGGAAGUCUGUAACCUCACCAGACGAGGCAUCCAUCUCACACUUGCUUCUCCGGGACCACUAGAGAGCCACAUGAGACCAUGUGCAAUGAAAUGCUGAAUUCACAACCACUUACCACUGAAAAUGAGCAGCACAGAAAAUCAGUGUUUUUAGUUAGGUGGCGCUAUCAGGGCAGGCUUCCUGAAAGAAGCUGGCUUUGAACUGCCCUAGGCUGGGAAGAAGUAGAAAACAGAACGGAAAAUUCAUUGUCCCAUGGUCUGGAGGCAUCCUGAAUCCUUGGACCAGCAUCAGCCAGAGAUCCCAGUGGCGAGACAGGGGAGUGAAGCCAUUGACAAUCCUGCCCAUGUUCUCACUCUUGAGAGUGUGGCACUGGGGCAGAAGCAGCAAAGACGACCACUGCAUACUUUGCAGCUCCCAGACAGAGGCGCACUUGGCUUCCAAUGCACAAGGCCCCCUUCGAUAACACCUUUUCAGGGUGCAGGAUAAUAGAGUAAAGUGUGGGUGGACUGGAGUGAAGUGCAGCCCAGGAUGAUAGCACCAGCUCAGAACGUCCUCAGCGAGGCCAGCAACAAUUUGGAGAAUAUUGAGAUGGAGCUGUCCAAUGAGCCAGAGGGUCCCUGAGAGAUGAGAUGGCCUUGGCCUGGAUUCCCCACCCCUCACUCACAAAAGCAGCUUGGUCCAUGGAGCUGGGGAGCACUGUUCAAUAAUAAUGAACAGCCCACCAGGCAGGCCUCCCAUCAGAGCCCAGUGAGGGGGCAGGUGAGCGCUGUCUCCCCAGCACCUGCUCCUGCCUGGGCCAGUGGCCCUGACCCUUCUGACAAAUCCCUAAGUGCGCCAACUGCUACGUGGUUUCUCACCAUCUGCAGCCCAAACUCUGCCUCCAAAGCCUAGUGGAUCCACCCAAUGGGCCUUACCUCCCACUCUCCCCACACAUUCUGCUGUAACUGAGACUCGCCUGCUCCCUGGGCUGCAACGCUCAUGUUUACCUGGACUUCCUCACACCGUCCCCACCACCUGAAUUAUCCUGCUCCUUUCCACCCCGAACAAUGGUAGGAACAGAAGCAGCACAGAAGAGAUAGCUUCAAGUCCUCCACUAAACAGAGAGUGCCUGCAUAAUCCCACAAACGAACAUAAAGUUAACCAUCUUACAGUUACAGAGGCCCGACGUCCACAGUUAGCCUCAGCCAGGCUGAAGUCACAGUGUCAGCACGGCUGGCUCGUUCUGGAGCUCCUGGGAGACGUGGCUCCCUUGCCUUUCCCAGCUCCUAGAGGCAUCAUGAGUUCCUUGGCUUAUGGUCCCAUAGCACAUGGACUUCUGCUUCUGUGGCCACAUCUCCAUCUUUGACUCUGGCCCUCCAGAGUCCCUCUUUUGAGGACUCCUGUGAUUACAUUACCAGAGCCACGUUGUAAGGGAAGCAUGGCACCAGCAUCUGCUUCUGAUGAGGGCCUCAGGAAGCUUCCCAUCAUGGCAUAUGGCAAAGAGGGAGCAAGCAAAUCAUGGUGAGAAAGGAAGCAAGAGUGAGCGGGAGGAAAUGCCAGGCUCUUUUGAUCAGCCGGAUCUCGCAUGAAGUCAUAGAGUGAGAACUCAUUCAUUACUGCAGGACAACACCAAGUCAUUUGUGAAGAUUCCAUCCCCGUGACCCAAACACCUCCGGGUAGGCCCACCUCCAACACUGGAGGUCACAUUUCAACAUGAGAUUUGGAGGGGACAAACAUCUAAACCAUAUCAAGAUUUUUCAUUUAUUUGUCUAAAUUGAUUCCUAUGUAUUUCAUAUUUUUGUAGCUAUUGUAAAUGAGAUUGCUUUCUUGAUUUCUUUUUUCAGAUUAUUCACCAUUGACAUAUAUAAAUGCUACUAAUUUCUGUAUGUUGAGUUUGUAUCCAGCAACUUACUGAAUUAGUUUACCAGUUCUAGCAGUUUUUUGGUGGAGUCUUUAGGUUUUUCUAAGUGUAAGUUCAUGUCAUCUGUGAACAAGGCUAUGAUUUCUUUCUUUCCAAUUUUAGUACUCUUUAUUUUUUUCCCUUGCCUAAUUGCUCUUCCAGGACUUCCAAUAUUAUGUUAAAUAAAAGUGGUGAAAAGUGAGCAUCCUUGUCUUAUUCCAGAUGUUAGAAGAAAGGUUUUCAAUAUACAAUGUUAGCUGUGUGUUUGUCAUCUACGGCCUAUGUUAUUUUGAGGUAUGUUUCUUCUAUACCCAGUUUGCUGAGGAUUUUUACUAUAAAGGUAUGUUGAAUUUUAUUGGAUGAUUUUUCAAUAUCUAUUGAAAUGGUCAUAUGGCUUCUGUUCUUGGUUCUGUUAAUGUGAUGUAUCACAUUUAUUGAUUUGCGUAUGUUGAAUCAUCCUUGAAUUCCUGGGAUGAAUUUUACUUGAUCAUGGUGAAUUAUUUUUUAACAUGUUGUUGAAGUUCACUAGUAUUUUGUUGAGAAUUUUUGCAUCUAUGUUUAUGCUUGAUAUUGGCCUGUGGUUUUCUUUUUUGUGUGUAUUUAUCUGGUUUUGGUAUCAGAGUAAUGCUGACUUUCUAGAAUAAGUUUAGAAGUAUUCCCUCCUCUUCAAUUUUUUGAAGCACUUUCUUGAAUAUAAUUAGUAUUAUUUCUUUUUUUUUUUUUUUGAGACAGAGUCUCACUCCAUCGCCCAGGCUGGAGUGCAACGGCGCCAUCUGGGCUCACUGCAACCUCCACCUCCUGGGUUCUAGGGAUUCUCAUGCCUCAGCCUCCUGAGUAGCUGGGACUACAGACAUCCACCACCACACCCAGCUAAUUUUUGCAUUUUUAGUAGAGACAGGGUUUCAACAUGGUGGCCAGGCUGGCCUUGAACUCCUGACCUGAAGUGAUCCACUUGCCUCAGCCUCCCAAAAUGCUGGGAUUACAGGUGUGAGCCACUGUGCCUGGCAGGAUAUUAUUUCUUCUUUAAAUGUUUGGUAGAAUUCAGCAGUGAAGCCAUCAGGUUCUGGGCUUUAUUAAUUAAUUAAUUAAUUAAUUAAUUAGACAUAGUCUUGCUCUAUCACCCAGGCUGGAGUGCAGUGGGGCAAUCUCGGCUCACUGCAACCUCUGCCUCCCAGGUUCAAGUUAUUCUUGUGCUCAGCCUCCUGAGUAGCU